ACGGGGCCCGCACAAGCGGUGGAGCAUGUGGUUUAAUUCGAUGCAACGCGAAGAACCUUACCUGGGCUUGACAUCCCUGGAAUCCCCUGGAAACAGGGGAGUGCCCUUCGGGGAGCCAGGAGACAGGUGCUGCAUGGCUGUCGUCAGCUCGUGUCGUGAGAUGUUGGGUUAAGUCCCGCAACGAGCGCAACCCUUGUCUUUAAUUGCCAUCAUUCAGUUGGGCACUUUAAAGAGACUGCCGGUGUUAAGCCGGAGGAAGGUGGGGAUGACGUCAAGUCCUCAUGGCCUUUAUGCCCAGGGCUACACACGUGCUACAAUGGGUGGUACAAAGAGAUGCCAACUCGCGAGAGCGCGCCAAUCUCAGAAAGCCAUCCUCAGUUCGGAUUGGAGUCUGCAACUCGACUCCAUGAAGUUGGAAUCGCUAGUAAUCGCGGAUCAGCACGCCGCGGUCGAAUACGUUCCCGGGCCUU
rnacentral:rRNA from 1 species